UCAGACAGCAGGUGCCAUGGGCCAGACGCUGUCAUAGGAACUGCAAACAUUCAUUCAGUCCUCUGGACAGGGCUGAGAGAGAAGUGUGCCACUGUUACACAGAGGGGGAAGCGGACACAGAGAGGCCAAGUCUCCUACCCACAGUCAUACAGCCUGUGAGUCACAGAGGCAGGGGCCACGCCCAUGGGGCCCAGUGACAGCCGUGAUGCCCCUCCCCCCAGCAGCAGGCGUAGCUGGCCGGGCACCCCAUCUCCCCAAGACUGUGCUCUGUGCCCCUUCAACCCUGCACACCACCCUAGCCCCAACGUCCCGGACUGUAAAUACUGUGAUUAUGCGCACGGAGCGGUUCCGCAUGUUGUCCCAGGUCACGCAGGUCGUAGAAGCUGGGUUCAAACACAGCUGGCUGGGGCUCCAGAGCCUGUCUAUUCACUACUAUGGCUGGUUUUAACAAUGCACGUGAGCUGCCAACAUGGGAGAGUCAGAAUUCACAUCAAAGUCAGCAUUUCUGGCAUCUAAUGGGAAAAAUAAAAAGACCUCAAGAGCUAACAGGAGCUGGGCCACACCUUCUGCCCCGCAGCGACUGGCAGGGGCAGGGGCGUUGACCAUGCCCGGCCUUCCCUCGCUUGUAUUCACUGGUUUAUUUGGAAUGCAGACAGAGAGAGAGAGAGAGAGAGAGAGAGAGAGAGAGAGCUCGCUGGCCUACUCCACAAAUGCCCACAACAGCCAGGGCUGAGCCAAGCCCAAGCCAGGAGCCUGGAGCUCCACCCAGGUCACCCUCGUGGGUGGCAGGCACUCACUGCUUGAGCCAUCACCUGCUGCCUCCCGGGGCACACGUGAGGCGGAAACUGGAAGCGGGGAUGCGGCCGGGACUUGAACGCAGCCCUCUGAGAUGGGACUCGGGGGUCCCGAGCUGCGGCGUAACUGCCUGUUCCCACUCCUCUUGCUUUUGUGCCCACCCCUCCCUCAGACAGCCCCUCCGAGGCUAAAGCCACAGCCUCUCCCAUCCCGGUCCUCGUGAGAUAAGCGCCAGCUCCCAGUGAUUCUCAACCAAGGGGCAGUUCCCGCCCAGGGGACCCCGGGCCAUGGUGUGGGGACAGUGUGGUUGGGACAGCUGGGGAGGCCGGGUGCUGUUGGCACCCCAGUGGGUGGGACCAGGGUCUCGGCUCAGCUUCUGAGAGUGCACGGGACAGCAGCACAGCGGGGACGUCCUCGGUGCUGGCCCUGGGUGACUGAGAAGGGCUUGGGGCAGCCUCUCGUUGGCACUCCUGGGAAAGGACACAGCGGGGUGGCCUCUCAGGAUGAUGGUCAAGGAGGACUUGGGGGGGAGCCGCAGCCAGUCUGGGCAGCCCCAGGCCUCAGCAUUGCUCUGGGUGCCAGAGUCUGAGUGGCUGGAUUAAGGCCAGGGUUGGGCAUGCAUGCACCAUGCAUUUAUUAAGCACCAACUGCAUACAAAGCGGCGUGAAGUGUGGUGGGAGAAAGUGAGGGUGUGGACGACGUGGCCCUGGCCCAGAGGUGACCAGCAGAGAAGGGGUCCUGGGGAUACCGAGGGGUCUCGUUAGGCAAAGAGCGUUGCAGUCUCCCGAGCAGAGACGGGAGGCGGUCCGGCCUGGGACAGGCGCAACCUAGAACAGCAGAGGUGGCGAGCGAGGCCGUCUGGACAGGGCACAAGGUGCAGUAGCAGCGACAGUGUCACAGGCACGCGCGGAGACCAGAUGCCAUCGGCAGGUGGGAGGAGCCUGCGGAGGCAGAGGGCCUGCGACCGCGGGAGAGGGCUGCCGACGGGGGAGGCGCCCGCACCGCGCCAGCACAGCCAGCGCCCAGAAGCUAGCAUUGCAGUCCUAGCCCAGCCUGGCACAGCAAAGGCCUACUUGGCACUGGCGAAAGCCAGGGUGGGGGGUGGGGGAGGGCAUCGAGAAACAGCUGAGCAGGUGCCCCCCAACAUGCCUCUCUGGAGCCCCUGGCCACCCCCUCAGGCUCUUCAAUAUCUCAGGACGCGACUGGCGAUGUGGCAUAGCAGGUAAAGCCGCUGCCUGCGGUGCCGGCAUCCCAUCUGGGUGCCGGUUCGAGUCCUGGCUGCUCUGCUUCCAAUCCAGCUCUCUGCUAUGGCCUGGGAAAGCAGUAGAAGAUGGCCCAAGCCCUUGGGCCCCUGCACCCAUGUGGGAGACCAGGAAGAAGCUCCUGGCUCCUGGCUGUGGAUAGGCACAGCUCUGGCCGUUGCGGCCAUCUGGGAAGUGAACCAGCGGAUGGAAGACCUCUCUCUCCCUCUCUUCCUCUCCUCUCUCUCUAUGUAACUUCGACUUUCAAAUAAAUACAUGAAUCUUUAAAAAUGUCUCAGGACGCCGUGCCCGGCCUGGAGCAUCCUUGUCUCAUUUGAGCCCUUGCUCUUUCCCCUCCCACUCCAGCUCAGAGGACACGGCUUCCGGAAGCAGAUGAGGGCAGGCCCGGGCAGAAACCUCACGGCGCCCUCGUCUUUGCGCCCAGAGCGUUUCAUUUUCCUUACCUGCCUGCCUUCCUCCACUCCCCCACCUCUCUCUCUCUCUCUCUCUCUCUCUCUCUCUCUCUCUCCCCCCUUCGUUAAGGUUUAUUUUUAUUUAUUUGAAAGGCAGAGUUACAAAGAAAGAGAGAGAGAGACAGAGAUUUUCCAUUUGCUGGUUCACUCCCCAGAUGGCCACAACAGCAGGAGCUGGGUCAGGCCAAAGCCAGGAGCCUGGAACUCCAUCCGGGUCUGCCGUGUGGGUGCCAUUGGGUAGGAGUGGAGCAGCUGGGACUCAGACUGGCCCCUCGGAGGCGACUCAGGUGCCAUGAGCUGCGACCUAACUCUCUGUGCUGCUGAAUCAUUCACCGUUCACGUUCAGGUUCACUGGGCACUGGGCAGCGAGCUGAGCCCACGUGCUGGACGGUUUCUGUUGAAACGCUGGCAGGGCGUGCUGGCCUGUGCUUGUUUCUAACGUGGGUUAGUGGGCUCUGGACGAUGUGCCAGGUGUGGGCUGUGGGGGCUCGUCUCCAAUGUGGGCCAUUCCCAGGUGCCCAGGAGACAAGCCAGCCGGAGUCUCUCUUCCCAGCGUGCCUUUCCUGCGCCGCAGAGAAGAGCCGCCCUGGGGACCAGGAAGGAAGAGGCCCUAUCCCAGACGGUUGGGAAAUAACUCAGUUUGCACCUGGUGGAGAGACCUGCGCAGCGGCCUCUCCAGCUGGGGACGCGACAGGCAGCACGCGAGCCUGGCUGGGCUGCUGCCCGGGGACCUGGCAGGGACAGGCCAGGGGACCGCCGCCCCGUGGCAGGUGUCUCUGCUGUGGGAGCUGCUUCACAGAGCUGUGCCCACAGCCAAAGCUCAGCACCACGGCACUUGCUUGGCACCCACCCGGUGCCAGGUUUUUAGAUGUGUUUCCCGCCUCCGAUCCCCAAUGCAGACCCUGUGGGGGGAGGGGAAGUGCUAAGCCCCUUUCAUGAAUGAGGAAGAACGAGGCACCUGCAGGGAGGCCACACAAGGAGGAAGUGGCUGAGCUGAGGUCGGGACUUGGUUCUGACAGCUCAAAACCAAGCCUCUAACAAUCCUGUGAUGCUGCCAAACCAGCCCCGCUAACCACCCAACUACCCGACCAGGUGACCAGUCAACCUCCCGCCAGCUUGCUCAGGAGGAGCCCGGGGCGGGCUCUUGCCCUAGCUGUGCGACCUUUAGCAGUUUACUUAACAUUGCCCGGGCUUUAUUUGCCCUAUCUGUAAAAUGGAACAAUAACGCCUCCCUCUCCCUGCUAAGUGAGUGAACGCAUGCCCGUUACAGAAUUAGCAUUCAGUACACCGUACGUCUCCAUGUCAGGGAGGGGGACUGUGAGUGUUCAGAAUCAGUCUGGUUUCUAAUGGGAAGUUUACAAAUCGAUUUAUAAAGCAAAGCAGCUUUUGUUAUGAAGCCUGUGCCGGAGAGGGGGUGGAGUGGUGAACUGGUCACGCCAUCCCCGGCCAUCCCGUGCUUUAGCCACAGGGACAACAGAGUGGACCCCAGGCUCCCAUUCUCGCCUGUCUCUGCCCAUCUGGCAGGUGCACUGGGGUCUUCCAAGUGCCCCACCCACGGCCAAGUCUGACCCUUCGUGCCCAAGGAGGGGCACCCGGCGGAGAGCAGUAGCCUGGGUACCUGGAGCAGGCUGCCCGCCCAGCCUUUAGGGCCCCUGGGUGCCCACUUGCAGGGGCGUGGGCAUCGGUGGCUGCUGCUUGUCUGGUCCCAGGGCCACUGCACAAAAUGCGCCGCAUCCCAACCGCUUGCCCUGAAAACCGAGUCUCGGACCAGCGUUUGAGGUGACAAGCGUGGAGACGCUGUGGGCCUGGUGCUUUUUUUGUCCUUUUCUGGCUUUUUCCAUAUCCAGAGUCCUUCGUGGGUGACUGGAGAGACCAGCGUUCAGAGACGAGGAGGGGCGGGGUGAAGGUUUCUUUAUCGUUUUGUGUAGUUUUUGGAAAACUACAGCAAGAACGACAGAACACCGGGCGCCGUCCGUUCCCAGGGCCUGGCUGUGGCCGGCUCACCUGGGCCUCCCUGGCCUCACCUUCCUGCUGGUGGGGGGCAGGGGCUGGCCCUGCCGCCCACUGCUCUCACCGCCACCGGGCCAUUUCCCAAACGUCUGCCCAGCUGGCCAGAGGACCUGUAUUUUCCCGGCCCCAGCUACACAUUAGUUGCUCCUUGGAAACAGCACGGAAGCUUUCAAAAUUGCAGUUGUUAGACCAGGGGGAUCUUCGCGCCCGCGAAGCCUCCUGUCCAUCACAGCGCGUCCUCGGAGCUCGUCUGCCCCCAGCCCGGACCCGGGGAAGUGGCAUUUUGCAGUGUGUGCACGCGGCUGCCAGGGGCGUCACCUCGCCAGGGGCGUCACACCUCGCCAGGCCCGCGUGUCCCUAAGGGGCUGGGGGGCGGCCCCCGCCGUGUGCGCCUGCGCACCUGUGCACAUUUCCUUUGUCGGCUUUAGUAGCGCAAAGUGCCUGGCCCCUGCUGGAGACCCUCGCAGUCCCCCUCCCCGGAAGAGAGGGGCUUGCCAGUGUCUCCUUAAACAGGGCAAGGCUCCCGCCUACAGCCACUUCCCUUCCGCCAAACGCUGAAGACUCUAGGGAGGAGACAGCAGAGGGAGGGGAGGCUGGGGCAGCGAGUGGAAGGGGAGGGGCUUCACGAUCUUGGCUACAAACGCUGAACUUCUCUUUGAGUCUUCUUGGGUGCCUGUGUAGAGCCAGGGCCCAGCUAGGACGUGAGGCAGGGGCUUGGCCCCUAAAUUCCACGUGCAGAAGCGGAAGCCACGGCCGGGGACUUCAUCACUCAAGUCCUCGCUCAGAGCCCAGCUUCAGGUUCACAGUCUCAACCACCGACAAAUCUCCCGCGAAACGCAGGCCGGGAGGGCUGUGGCCUCUGUCAGCGGGAGGGGACCAGAGGGGACACAUCACCAGGCGUGGCUGCGGCCCCGAGGCCCUGGGCUCCCUGACCCUUGCUUUUGGCCACCUGCCUUGCUGGCUGCAUCUGUGAACCUGACCUGGUGGAACAUUCCACGUUCCUGACCUUGGCACAGAGGUCUUUGGGUCCCUGAGUCUCUCAUUCGGCACACCUGCUCGGGGGCUCCCGGUGACAGCCCCUCAGGCGACAGAGCUGAGCCCCGGGUGACAGCGAUUGGCUGCAAACCAGCGUCUAGGGGAGGGGUCCGGAGCAGUUGGCGGCCUUGUGUGCCUCGCCCGGGCGCGGGGGACGAGCUGGCAGGUGCCGUGAGGAUGCUCACACGCGGGCCAUUCUGGGACACGCUCGUGGUUGCGGGGCUGGGAGCUCUUCCUGCCAAGGGCUGUUUGGGUACUGAUAACACCAUCCGCGGCCCAUUCACAAUUACCCACUUGAAAACGAGCCUGUUUUGGAUGUGCUGAACUUCAAGCGCUGCCUGUGGUCGCCUUGGCAGGGGCCCGCGGGCCUGGUACUUUCCACGGGAUGGACGGCCGCCAGGCGGGCUGAGGGGGACGAGGAUACAGGGUCAUUCGUCCGACGAAUAGCUACGAGAAAAGCCACCAGGUGUCAGGCUCUGGGCGCUAAGCCCCUGCCCCGUGUGAGGCUUUGGGAGCUGACGCUGAGCUGGGAGCGCCAGCCAGCCUCUCCCACCACUGCUUUCCCUGUCUGCCAGUCCCGCACCCCUGCGUGUGCGCGUGCACCUGCACCCCUGCACGGCCCUGCUGUUCCCUGUGAGCUGCAGGUGCUGUCUCAGGCCCGCAGGCUCCCGCCCCUUCUCCCAACGCAGCAAGGCCCCCUCGGCUUCCUCGGGUCCGUCCACGACUUCCCAAACCCGCGCAGUUUUCAGCUUCCUGUCCUCAGCCCCCAUCUGCCGACCAGAAGCUGCAGGACCCGGAUGAAGCUUCGGCUUGACCUGCCGGACCCCGGACUGCACAGCGCGCUGGCCGCACAGCCGCCGGGGAGAGAGGGCACGGGACUGGCAGCCCGCGGGAGCUCGUCCCUGGCUUGCGCCGACCUCCCGGCUUCUGCCUCUCGCUUUGAUCAGGGGAAGUUGGUGAUGGAGUGUGACAGCGCGGCUUCCGUCCCCCUGUGGCUGAGCCACGUCCCCGAUUCCCUUUCUGUGCCGGUGAUCGUGGCGUGUCUUUGCUUCCAGAGAUGAACACGAGGAUGACGAAGCCGGCGUGUGUGGGUGGAAGGAGCCCCGGGGACAGGAGCGGGGCGCUGGUUCCCCUGGGCGAUGCCUUGGCGCUGACACCUGUGCGCACCUGCGGGGCUUCCACCCCCAGGUACCAUUCAUGGAGCACCGUGCUCUCUCUCUGCCUCCUCGGGCAGUGGGAGCGGUUCUUUCCCCACGAGGUCCACAUCACCGACAUCUCCCCACUUCACACUCGCCUCCUCCCCAGUGCACCUGCCACGUGGUUCACAGGGUGUGACCUUGGCCAGCCCCUGGGGUGAGCCGGGUUAGUUUAUUUUUUUUAAAGGAAGAUUUAUUUAGUAUUUAUUUGAAAGAGUUACGAGCUGGGGUGGGGGGUGGAGAGAGCUUCCAUCCACUGGUUCGUUCCCCGAUGGCUGCAAUGGCAGGGGCUGGGCCAGGUGGAAGCCAGGGGCCUGGAAUGCCAUCCAGGUCUCCCGGGUGGAUGCAGGGACCCAAGGACUUGGGCUGUCCUCUGCUGCUUUCCCAGGGGAUUAACAGAGAGCUGGAUCGGAAGUGGAGCAGCCGGGACUUGAACCGGUGCCCAUAUGGGAUGCCAGAGUCACAGGGCCACAGCGCUGGCCCCUCGCACCUGCAUCGUUAUCCGGCACUUUCGAUGAUGCAGCCUAGGGAGCCCCGGUGAACUUGUAGACCCUGCGGUCCCCCUGCACAGCCCCCCCCCCCCCCCGCCUCGCUGUAACCACGUGGAAGCUCUUCCUACGGCGACGGAGAGGAAGCUCCCUGACCACGCGGGGCCCGGCAGCCUCUCGGUUCUCUCAACGCUGGCAGCUUGCUCUCACCCAUUCACUGCCUGACUCCGUGCUUACCUCACACCCCUCCCCCACACCCCCUUCCUACCAAGCCCCUUACUCACGGGACUCCCUCAGCUUCUUCACAGUCUGUCUCCCACCCCCAGCACUGCAGUGCACACACAUACACACACACCCCCACUUCAUUUCCUUGCCUGGCCAACUUCUCAGCAUUAAAAUCUCAGGGAACACGCCACCUCCUCCAAGAAGCCCUCCUUACUACGUACACCAAAGUAGCCUCCUCUUGCCCCUCUUCCUUUGCUUUUCUGCUCUAGCCUUGAGGACCCUCAGCUGCCCUAACACCACUCUUUGGGCAGACCAGGAGGGGCGCUGAGGUCACGGUCACGGUCGAGCCCAGGGGACACAGCGGCUUCGAUGGGGCAGAGGACAGAGCCUCCUGACGCUGGAGUUCACGGCCUGCAGCUGAGCACAGGGUCACGUGGGGCACCACGGCUGCUGUGAACCGGCCGAGGCCCCCGGCUCCCCUGGAAGCUGAGCCCCUGGCUGUGAUACACAUCGGCCGACGACAAGGUCACGCAUGGCCUUCGUGGCCGUCAUGUCCAGUCCUAGAGCGCUGGUGUGAUCGCAGGGGAAAGCUACUGAGAGCUGGGUGGGGGGCUCGGGCAGUGUGGGUGGGACUGGGCUGAUCAGGCUGCCGCGGCCCCGCCCCAGCCAGGGAAAGGGAGCUGAAGCUGCAGCAGAGCAUUGUGGGUGCUGACCGGCAUAGCCGCCUGGCGCCCCGAGUGCGUGCCAGCGUGCCAGGUGCGGCAGGGGAGGUGAGGACCUGCGCUGGGCACAGACAGCCACGGCCCCACGGCCGCAGCCCAGACUCCGGGGCUGCCCAGAGAGGAAGCGAGUGGGAGGAGGUUCAGGCGACAAACGCCAGGAGCAGCGGCUGCAGACUCGCCCUCCUCCUGACCCCGCCUCCGUGGCACUGGUAGAGCAGGCCGCUCGCGCUGAGUGGGUGUGAGCCCUGGGACGUUCUGAGUGGGUGUCCCUGAGGCUGAUGUGGCCGCACAGGGUCUCAGACCCUGGAGAAAGCUGCAGGGAGAGUCACUCAUGCGGUUCACUGACUGAGCGCCUGCUGUAUACCUCACCUCGUCCCUGGCACCGGGAACACACAGAUGAAGGGCACUGUGCCUGCCUUCAUGGAGCUUAGGGUCCCACGGGGCUCAGAAGGCAGGGGCUAAAGACGGGGCAAUGACGUCAGCACAGGCCGCAGCGGGACCCCCAGAUUGGAGUGAGAGGCCGAGGGUGCAGCAGGAGCUGAAGCCUGAGCCGAGACAGGAAACCACCAGUGGCCAGCGGUGACAGAGCACAUACGGUACACCAUGGAAGGCUCUUGGCCCUCGCGUCUCCAAUACACUCAGCCUUCCUGGGAACA